CACCCCCCUACCCCGUGCCUCUCUAAAGCAUCCAGAACUGACUCAGCUGCAUCAGACUGUGCCCUGUGUCCUGUUGGCAUGUCCCCAUGCUUCGUCCCUGGAGUGAACUACAACCUGGGACUUCCAGAGGCGGCUAUGGUUAGGCAGGGAGCAGCCAGUGUUCUGGAGUAGACCCAGACAUAAACCUAAUUCUUGAUUUGAGAACAGUGGCUCCUCUGAACUGGCUUGAUAAUGUGUUACCAGCCGGGGCGAGUCAGCCAUAGAGGGGCCUGGCAAUCCUUCUGCCCUGCAGAUUCUUUGACUCCUUCUUUUCUUUCUGUUGCUUUUGUUUGCCUAGUUGAGACAGGACCUCACUAUGAAGCCCAGGCUAGGCUUGAGUGAGAUCCCUCUGCCUCAGCCCUGCAGGGUGCUGGAUCCGGGAAUGUGCAGGCUCCUUACUGUUUGGAAGGAGGAAUUCUGCAGGGCUCAGAGCCGCAGGUGUUCCAUCCACCCUUCAGCUGCACUUCCUGUGGAUGAGACCCAGAGAAAUGGGAAGAUCAACUGGGCAGCAAGUGACAAUCACCUACUGAAUGUAAGAAAUGGAGCCCUGGAGGGGCUUUGUCCUGUUGCUGAAGAGAGGCAACCUGGAUUCAUGGGACUCCAGGAUGGGGGAUGGGCAGUUUCAGUGUCGGUGGAAGAGAGGUUGGUUUCUCUGUGAUAGAAAUGCAUGGCUCCAGCAGUGGCUGCUGUCCUGUCCUGCUUGGCUCAGGGGGGCUGCACUGCUGCAGUAGGCAUGGGACAGACACUGUAUUCCAGUCGUUCCUUGAAGGCUUGAAUGCAUCAGAUUUGGGGUGGCGGGUGGGAGUGGGGGGACAGUGUCCUGUUUUGUUUGGGAAACAUACAAGAGCCACUAUUCUUUCUGAGUGAUUCUAGGUCACUGCUCCUCGAGUCACCAGAACAGACCGUUGUAUGAAUAAGAAUGACGUCUGCGAGCACCCGCCGUGCUCCACUGAUUGUAUGGGGUGCUCCUGGGAUUGGGCCAAGAGGUUCAACUCCAGCACCAGAGGGAGUAGGAUGCCAGGAGAGGCCAGCUUUGCAAACUCCCAACCCCCCGGGUUCUCAGUGGCAGAAGACUGAGUGUACAGGGACCAAGGUGGCUUGUGGUUGAGCUGAGACCACUGCACUUGGAGCAUCUGUAGCUCCAGACCCCUUCGCUUUCCUGACUCUACGGAUGAGGUGAUUCACGCUUGCUUCCUAUUCUGUCUUCAUGGAGUCAAGGAUGCUCUUAGCACCCGUAUUAGUCUAUUCUGGCUCUGAGAAGAGCAUGCUGUAGACUGGGUGGCUUCUAAACAACAGACCUUGAUCUCUUGGCUGUGAAGGCUGACAAGUUCAAGAUCAAGAGAUUCAGUGUCUCACAAAGGCCAGCUUCCGAUGACUUCUUCUCAUUGUGUCCUCCCAUGCCCGAGGGACGGAGUCUUCGGGUCUCAUUCACAAGGGCACUAUCCCCAGGGUCUAGCCAGCUCCCAAAGGUCUGCUUCCUGAUCCUAUCACACCAUGGACCAGGAUUGCAACCUUUGAUUGGAGGGUGGGGCAUAAAUAUCCAGUCACUGACAACACCCUUCCAGAGCCCUUAGGAUUCAAAAUGAUAAGUGAAUUCUCCAUUCUGGAACUGACACCACCUUCUGGAAAGAAAUAUACAGAAAGAGAAAGUAUACUAGUGUCAAGAAGAGAACGUCCCUGCUUUCCCAAAGAUAUACAAGUGGCCAUCUCAGCGGCUCUAGAUUCUAGAUCAUAGCACAGUGGAUAUGUUUGCUUAUAAAGAUAUUUUGAUCUUUUAGUUUAUGACUCAAAUGGAUUGCCAGAGUGGGGAUGAGGAGACCAAAAACAUAUCUAAGGCUCUUAGAACAUCUUUUCAAAUUGCCUUCCAAAUGGGUCAGAUUAAUUUUCAUCUUAUUCGGGAUCGGUACUGGCUGGUUUUGUGUGUCAACUUGACACAAGCUGGAGUUAUCACAGAGAAAGGAGCCUCCCCUGAGGA
rnacentral:lncRNA from 1 species